UGGCUCUCGCAUCGAUGAAGAACGCAGCGAAAUGCGAUAAGUAAUGUGAAUUGCAGAAUUCAGUGAAUCAUCGAAUCUUUGAACGCACCUUGCGCUCCUUGGUAUUCCGAGGAGCAUGCCUGUUUGAGUGUCUUGAAGUCAUCAACUCCCACCGUUUUGUGCGGUGGAGCGGUUGGAGCUGGGGGAUGCUGCCCGUCUGCGGCGGCUCCCCUCAAAUGUGUCGGUUGGGCCAAAGGGUCAAACUCGAAAGGGGUGUUGUAACAUCCUCGCUCCCUUCGAGUCCUGUCGGCGCCCCUCCUCGACUCAGCCUCCCUCGCGGUUGGCGGUCAACUAACAUUGAAAUCUGACCUCAAAUCAGGUAGGACUACCCGCUGA
rnacentral:misc_RNA from 1 species